GGAGUCCCAUCAGGAUAAAGCCUAACCAGCAGUCCUGUAGCUAGUUCUUGGAGGCUAAGCGGUAACGGUUGGUUUUAAGCGUAGAACGGCAAUAUAACGGGCCGAAAGCGCAAGCUGAAGUGAUUGAGCCCCGAAAAUACGUGGAGACAGGCCGAUGUAGUUACACAUGCAGAAGGCAGAAUCNAACGGCAAUAUAACGGGCCGAAAGCGCAAGCUGAAGUGAUUGAGCCCCGAAAAUACGUGGAGACAGGCCGAUGUAGUUACACAUGCAGAAGGCAGAAUCCGUUCAAGCGAUAAGGUGAGCUUGAACGGGCGCUCCGGGGUCUUAGAGCU
rfam:Paenibacillus sp. Leaf72 contig_13, whole genome shotgun sequence.